ACCACAGACCAAACAGCAGACACUUCCAGCUGAUUAUGAGGAAACAUGCUUCGGGUCAACUACGUUUAGUUACAUUCGGCUAUUGUUUACUCAUUGUGCAUCACGUGCAAUGAGUCUAGAGAUUGAAAACACAAGGGACAUACCGGCGCUGAAAAAAAGUUGAAUAAACAACACUCGCCUGUGAAUACCCUAUAUCCUGUUCUUACCGCCAAAAGGAUCAACAGCAUGUACAACUGGUAAAAGAAUACUGUACUUCAAAAUGAGAAGAUCCUGUCAUGGAAAAGACAACUGGGUGGACUUAAAGUGGAAAGGAUGGGAAAUAACUCACACCAUGCAACAGGACACCUUCAGCUGCGUGGUCUUUGUAAUGCAGAUGGCCAAGGAAGUUGCACAAAACUUCCCCAACAUCCCCUCCCAAAUUGAUAUAGAACCUUCACAAAAAACACAUGGAGCAACUGCGAAAAUAAAUGGCUGAGGAUAUACUAAAAAUAUCUGAGUUCAACAAAGCCAACAACUGCUUCAGGUGUGCCACUGAUAAAGAACCUGGAUGUGGCCCAAAGACUGACUGGAUUGAAUGUUUUGCAUGCCAACGGUGGUUCCAUGUGCUGUGCCUAGGAAUGAAGACAAAAGAGUUCAGAGUGAAGAACACAAACUGGAAGUGCUGUCUUUGUUGUUGAAAAUGUAUGCUAUACCCUAUCCACACUGAAGAGGCUCUGAAAUGUACAUCAACCAGGGAUAAAGAGAAAGUUAACACUGUGAAAUGUUUAGUACUUAUUUGAAGUAAAGUGUAUGUUGACAUGUUGGAAAAGAUUAAAGGUCUACAAUUUA